UAAGCGACUAAGCGUACACGGUGAUGCCUGGCAGUCAGAGGCGAUGAAGGACGUGCUAAUCUGCGAUAAGCGUCGGUAAGGUGAUAUGAACCGUUAUAACCGGCGAUUUCCGAAUGGGGAAACCCAGUGUGAUUCGUCACACUAUCAUUAACUGAAUCCAUAGGUUAAUGAGGCGAACCGGGGGAACUGAAACAUCUAAGUACCCCGAGGAAAAGAAAUCAACCGAGAUUCCCCCAGUAGCGGCGAGCGAACGGGGAGCAGCCCAGAGCCUGAAUCAGUGUGUGUGUUAGUGGAAGCGUCUGGAAAGGCGCGCGAUACAGGGUGACAGCCCCGUACACAAAAAUGCACAUGCUGUGAGCUCGAUGAGUAGGGCGGGACACGUGGUAUCCUGUCUGAAUAUGGGGGGACCAUCCUCCAAGGCUAAAUACUCCUGACUGACCGAUAGUGAACCAGUACCGUGAGGGAAAGGCGAAAAGAACCCCGGCGAGGGGAGUGAAAAAGAACCUGAAACCGUGUACGUACAAGCAGUGGGAGCACGCUUAGGCGUGUGACUGCGUACCUUUUGUAUAAUGGGUCAGCGACUUAUAUUCUGUAGCAAGGUUAACCGAAUAGGGGAGCCGAAGGGAAACCGAGUCUUAACUGGGCGUUAAGUUGCAGGGUAUAGACCCGAAACCCGGUGAUCUAGCCAUGGGCAGGUUGAAGGUUGGGUAACACUAACUGGAGGACCGAACCGACUAAUGUUGAAAAAUUAGCGGAUGACUUGUGGCUGGGGGUGAAAGGCCAAUCAAACCGGGAGAUAGCUGGUUCUCCCCGAAAGCUAUUUAGGUAGCGCCUCGUGAAUUCAUCUCCGGGGGUAGAGCACUGUUUCGGCAAGGGGGUCAUCCCGACUUACCAACCCGAUGCAAACUGCGAAUACCGGAGAAUGUUAUCACGGGAGACACACGGCGGGUGCUAACGUCCGUCGUGAAGAGGGAAACAACCCAGACCGCCAGCUAAGGUCCCAAAGUCAUGGUUAAGUGGGAAACGAUGUGGGAAGGCCCAGACAGCCAGGAUGUUGGCUUAGAAGCAGCCAUCAUUUAAAGAAAGCGUAAUAGCUCACUGGUCGAGUCGGCCUGCGCGGAAGAUGUAACGGGGCUAAACCAUGCACCGAAGCUGCGGCAGCGACGCUGAUGCGUUGUUGGGUAGGGGAGCGUUCUGUAAGCCUGCGAAGGUGUGCUGUGAGGCAUGCUGGAGGUAUCAGAAGUGCGAAUGCUGACAUAAGUAACGAUAAAGCGGGUGAAAAGCCCGCUCGCCGGAAGACCAAGGGUUCCUGUCCAACGUUAAUCGGGGCAGGGUGAGUCGACCCCUAAGGCGAGGCCGAAAGGCGUAGUCGAUGGGAAACAGGUUAAUAUUCCUGUACUUGGUGUUACUGCGAAGGGGGGACGGAGAAGGCUAUGUUGGCCGGGCGACGGUUGUCCCGGUUUAAGCGUGUAGGCUGGUUUUCCAGGCAAAUCCGGAAAAUCAAGGCUGAGGCGUGAUGACGAGGCACUACGGUGCUGAAGCAACAAAUGCCCUGCUUCCAGGAAAAGCCUCUAAGCAUCAGGUAACAUCAAAUCGUACCCCAAACCGACACAGGUGGUCAGGUAGAGAAUACCAAGGCGCUUGAGAGAACUCGGGUGAAGGAACUAGGCAAAAUGGUGCCGUAACUUCGGGAGAAGGCACGCUGAUAUGUAGGUGAAGUCCCUCGCGGAUGGAGCUGAAAUCAGUCGAAGAUACCAGCUGGCUGCAACUGUUUAUUAAAAACACAGCACUGUGCAAACACGAAAGUGGACGUAUACGGUGUGACGCCUGCCCGGUGCCGGAAGGUUAAUUGAUGGGGUUAGCGCAAGCGAAGCUCUUGAUCGAAGCCCCGGUAAACGGCGGCCGUAACUAUAACGGUCCUAAGGUAGCGAAAUUCCUUGUCGGGUAAGUUCCGACCUGCACGAAUGGCGUAAUGAUGGCCAGGCUGUCUCCACCCGAGACUCAGUGAAAUUGAACUCGCUGUGAAGAUGCAGUGUACCCGCGGCAAGACGGAAAGACCCCGUGAACCUUUACUAUAGCUUGACACUGAACAUUGAGCCUUGAUGUGUAGGAUAGGUGGGAGGCUUUGAAGUGUGGACGCCAGUCUGCAUGGAGCCGACCUUGAAAUACCACCCUUUAAUGUUUGAUGUUCUAACGUGGACCCGUAAUCCGGGUUGCGGACAGUGUCUGGUGGGUAGUUUGACUGGGGCGGUCUCCUCCUAAAGAGUAACGGAGGAGCACGAAGGUUGGCUAAUCCUGGUCGGACAUCAGGAGGUUAGUGCAAUGGCAUAAGCCAGCUUGACUGCGAGCGUGACGGCGCGAGCAGGUGCGAAAGCAGGUCAUAGUGAUCCGGUGGUUCUGAAUGGAAGGGCCAUCGCUCAACGGAUAAAAGGUACUCCGGGGAUAACAGGCUGAUACCGCCCAAGAGUUCAUAUCGACGGCGGUGUUUGGCACCUCGAUGUCGGCUCAUCACAUCCUGGGGCUGAAGUAGGUCCCAAGGGUAUGGCUGUUCGCCAUUUAAAGUGGUACGCGAGCUGGGUUUAGAACGUCGUGAGACAGUUCGGUCCCUAUCUGCCGUGGGCGCUGGAGAAUUGAGGGGGGCUGCUCCUAGUACGAGAGGACCGGAGUGGACGCAUCACUGGUGUUCGGGUUGUCAUGCCAAUGGCACUGCCCGGUAGCUAAAUGCGGAAGAGAUAAGUGCUGAAAGCAUCUAAGCACGAAACUUGCCCCGAGAUGAGUUCUCCCUGACUCCUUGAGAGUCCUGAAGGAACGUUGAAGACGACGACGUUGAUAGGCCGGGUGUGUAAGCGCAGCGAUGCGUUGAGCUAACCGGUACUAAUGAACCGUGAGGCUUAACCU
rnacentral:rRNA from 1 species